CCGCCGGCGACCGGCGCACGGGUGAGUAACACGUAUGCAACCUGGCCGUGACAGAUGGAUAACCGGGAGAAAUCCCGCCUAAUACAACAUAAUGCCGGGAGGGGACAUCCCCUGCCGGCCAAAGGGGGCGACCCCGGUCACGGAUGGGCAUGCGGCGCAUUAGGUAGUUGGUGGGGCAACGGCCCACCAAGCCGACGAUGCGUGGGGGUUCUGAGAGGAAGGUCCCCCACAUUGGAACUGAGACACGGUCCAAACUCCUACGGAAGGCAGCAG
rnacentral:rRNA from 1 species